UUACCUGGUCUUGACAUCCCGGAGACCCUUAGGAAACUAGGGGUGCUUCCAUCUGGAAGAAUCUGGAGACAGGUGCUGCAUGGCUGUCGUCAGCUCGUGUCGUGAGAUGUUGGGUUAAGUCCCGCAACGAGCGCAACCCUUGCCUUUAGUUGCCAGCAGUUCGGCUGGGCACUCUAAAGGGACUGCCGGUGUUAAACCGGAGGAAGGUGGGGGUGACGUCAAGUCCUCAUGGCCUUUAUGACCAGGGCUACACACGUACUACAAUGGCCGAUACAAAGGGCAGCGACACUGCGAGGUGAAGCCAAUCCCGUAAAAUCGGUCUCAGUCCGGAUUGGAGUCUGCAACUCGACUCCAUGAAGUUGGAAUCGCUAGUAAUCGUGGAUCAGCAUGCCACGGUGAAUACGUUCCCGGGCCUU
rnacentral:rRNA from 1 species